GUCCCUAUCGUCUAGCUUGGUCCAGGACAUCGCCCUUUCACGGCGAAAACAGGGGUUCAAAUCCCCUUAGGGACGCCA
rnacentral:tRNA from 1 species